ACGUCCCACGCCCCAUAUUCCUCACCCGUUCGCUCCUGAUCCUCUCUCCCGAAAAUAAUUCGCCACCGCCUAUGCUCGCCGCCUUGCCCCCAAGCAUCACCUUGCCGGCCUAGAUCUCGACCCGGCGCCGCUCCCCACCAAGUAGAAGCACCCAGAGGCCAUCCGCCCCGACCGCCAACAUAUGCCACGACCCGACGUCGCCCAAUCGGAGUGCCGUCGCACCAGCUCGCCAUAGCACCAAGCGCAUCCCCUACCGCAGAUUUCGGGGCUAGCCGCCACCCCUGCCAAUCGCGUAUGGGCAGGUGCGGGCUGACGCCCCCCUCCCGGCCUCGACCUUCCCCGUGCCCUUGCUUCCAGUCCCCAAAUCCAGGAGAGACAGCGGGGGCACGGCCCAAGAUCGGCGACAGGGCACGAGCGGACGUUGGAGAGACGAGAUCGACAGGUUACCACCAGAAGCUGCCCACGCCAGGAAGAAACUGCAAGAAGUGCACUUGCUGCUGUUGCGUUGGACUAGCUGGUGUUGCAUUGGAAGGAAGACGAAUGUGAGCAGGAAGAUGAGGUAGACAUUCUACGUGAUGGUAGCGAAUCAGAAGCUCGCUGUACCCGGCAAGAACAGCUUCAACAUCUCACAUCAUCAAGUAGGUGUGACUAUCCUCUGUACAGAACUUGCCAAAAAGUCAUUAUAUGUACUUUUGUCAUAGUGCAAAACUAAAUGACAUGCAAGAACGACUGUUUGUUAGAAUAGUUACUAUUGUACUCCCUCCGUUUCUAAAUAUAAGUCGUUUUAGAGAUUUCGAUAUGGGCUACAUCUCUACUAUUAUAGGGGAAUCGAACGUCGUGAUGGUUCGACCACCUCGUUCGAUCCCCCGCCUCGUACAACAGCCAUCGCUCGAUGUCCCACACGCCCGCACAAUAUCCAGCCCGCAAGCCCACGUACCAUCGAUACUGCCUUCCUCCCGCGCAUAAAAAAGCAACCCACCCCGUGUUGGACGUGGCCCAGAAACCAGCCCACACUUCCUCCCAUCCCCGACCGAACACAGAGAGGAAAAAACUGUCGCUAACACGCACUCGCGUCUCCGCCUCCCCCCAACUCCCAACUCCCAACUCGCUCCCGACCCCGACCCCAUCUCUCUCCAGGAAAAGUCGCCGCCAGUGGCGGCUGUGUUCGUCGCCCCGCCACCGAUCCAUCCGCUGCCGCGCGCCUUCUGGAUCAAGGUGAGGGAUGCCUCCCGUCCCGUGCGCCCGCCUUGGAAGAGAGAUGGGGGAGAGAAAGGGAGAGAUAAGAGAGAGGGAGGAGCGGACAGCGGCGGCGCUGGCCUAAUCGCCGACAUAGGAAGAUGAGGUCAUGGUUCCAAAGCGUGGCGGGUUGGCGCUGCUGAUUCAUAGCUGUCGACUUCCUUGUUUGCUUUUGGCUGCGGGCGCAGCACCUUGCCUUCAUGUCACCAAGAAGGUCUGCAGUCCAUCAUCAUCCGACGUAAACUUUAGGGCGGCCACCAGAAAGAUCCUGAUAUGCCGCCAUUAUGCAGGAGCUCUCGGUUAUGGUGAGAUAGAAACUCCAGAAUACGUACACUUAUAGCUAUACUGUGUCUCUUUUUUUCUUCCAGGCUUCAUAUUCAUUGGUUGAUAUGAUUUCUUAGGUUAGGAUAAAUGUUUUUGGAUAAUCCUGGACUGAAAGCUUGUGCAGAAGGAAAAAUCUGCUUCCCAAUCAGGCAGUUCAUCAACAACAAUGCCAAGAUUAAAUUCAACUUGAAAGAAUUACGGUGGCUGUUAGUUUGCUCGAAGGAACUCUGAAGCAUGUGGUUGAUGUAAAUCUACAUUCUGAGAAAGAAUUUGCAUAUUCAGGAGAAGGACUGCAAACAUAGUGCUUGCUUUGUUAAGAUUUUUAUGUUCUCAAGGAUGUUAAAGGGUCCCUCCUGAGAACCAAGAGGACAAGCUUGAACUCAAGCUGCCUAUUCACACAGAAGUGCUUGAACGCAAGAUGCUCCUCCCGAGUCAUUUGACAGAUAUAGAAAUAAGAUUUUAUGAGAAGUAACCUGAAGGGCUGUCGAGCUUCACGGCGCUGAGGGCAGGAGCUGUACCUGGCGGGGAACAAGAUGAGCGACGUGGAGGGGCUGCUCAAGCUGGCGGUGCUGGACCUGAGCGAGCUUCAACAGGGUCACCACCACCAAGGGGCUGGGCCCAACUACAGCUCGCUCCGGGCGCUCAACCUGCUGGGCAACCCCGUGCAGAGCAACGUCGGCGACGACUCGCUCCGCAAGGCCGUCUCGGGCCUCCUGCCGGUGCUCGCCUACCUCAACAAGCAGGCCCUCAAGCCCCAGCGUCGCCAAGACCGCCCUCGGGAACAGCCACGGUGCGCCGGCUCGGCCACAGCCCGGGCUCGUCGUCGGCCAAGAGGGAGGGAAGGGAGCAGCAGGAGCAGGUCCCAGAACGGGGUUUCAGGCAAGGAGGUGAGACGAUCGAGCAAGGAGUAACUUCAGAUGCUACAGAUGGCCUUGUCAGUCACGGUGAUCACCGUGGACUCGGAGGGCGUUGAGUUGAGACUCGAGGAGGUGAAACGGUGUGUGCUGCUGGAAAUAACUGCUGCAAACGUUGUGAGACCCGAAAGUUGUACUUGGAAAACAAGUCUAGUAGUAGUAGUAUUUCAAGCCUUUCCCGAUGAGCCCAAAAUGAUUCAGGAAAGAAGAAAUGACAUGCGGAUGGAUGCAGUCAGGAUUCAUCUAAGUUGCGAGGUCCAC